AGGACGAACGCUGGCGGCGUGCUUAACACAUGCAAGUCGAGCGGUAAGGCCUUUCGGGGUACACGAGCGGCGAACGGGUGAGUAACACGUGGGUGAUCUGCCCUGCACUCUGGGAUAAGCCUGGGAAACUGGGUCUAAUACCGGAUAUGACCUGCUCUCGCAUGGGGGGUGGGUGGAAAGAUUUAUCGGUGCAGGAUGGGCCCGCGGCCUAUCAGCUUGUUGGUGGGGUAAUGGCCUACCAAGGCGACGACGGGUAGCCGACCUGAGAGGGUGACCGGCCACACUGGGACUGAGACACGGCCCAGACUCCUACGGGAGGCAGCAGUGGGGAAUAUUGCACGAAUGGGCGCAAGCCUGAUCCAGCAAUGCCGCGUGUGUGAAGAAGGCCUUCGGGUUAGUAAAGACGACUUUAAGUUAGGAAGUAAAAACGUACGAC
rnacentral:rRNA from 1 species